AGAAAAGCUUAUUUCUCUCCCAUAUACUCUCUCUAAAAAGCUUUCUCUAUCUCCUCUUACAAAAGUUCUGAUUAUUUGAGAAGAGAAAAUUGGUCUAAGCAAAUUGAGAUAAGUUGUUUGAUUUAUUUAUUUAAAUUAUCUCUUGCUUAUUUAUAUUUAUAGAUAUACGAAUAUAAAUUUUUCUACACAAUUCUAUAUAUCUAUAUUUCAACUAUUUAUCAAAUAAAAGGAUACUUGGGUGCCGCAAGGCUACGGAGAUAAACAUCUACGGAGAGGAAUCCAACCGUACGAUUCUUUAUAGUCUUCAGUAACCUUUUAUUGAUAUUAUUUAUAUAAAUAUCGUAAAAUAGAUACGACACUUGAUAGCUCAAAACAACACUGAGAUACUGCUCCAAAAAGAGUAGUCAUCCGAACCGGAUUUGAGAAUCGUAGUGAUCUAUUGAAAAUAUUUAUAUAAAUAUCAAUUGUGAAAAAUAUAAAUUUUGUCAUACUUAGACCCCGCAAGGCUACGGAGAUACACCUCUACCAAGAGGAAUUCGAACCGUAUGAUUCCUUAUAGUACUAAGUGACAUUAUCUAUAAAAGUUCACAUAAUAGAUAAAAUAUUCUUAUAUAUUAUUUGAGUUAAACAAUAAUAUUUGUUAUAUCAAGUAUUGCUUAACUGAUUUAUUUAUUAUACUUGAUAUCUGUCAUCACAAGUAUUUGUUCAUAAAUUUAUUUAUUCAUAAAAUACUUGUUGCAUAAUAUAAAAGUUAUUUAAACUUUUAUUUCACAAACUUAAGUUAAUAUAUCUGCUUAAUUAGAAGCAUAUUUGAUUCAAAACUUAAAAUAACUUAUUUGCUUACUCAGAAGCACUUUCACUCUAAAAAGUUAUUUAAACUUAAAGUGACUUUUCUUUACUCCAUAAAGAAUAAAUAAUUCUUUAUAAAUUUAUUUUAAAUUAUAUAUCUGCUUAAAUAGAAGCAUUUUUGAGUAAAAGCUAAAAUUGAUCUAUUUGCUUAUUCAAGAAGCACUUCUUACAUAAAAUAUAAAAGUUAUUUAAACUUUUAUAACAGAACAUAAUUUUCAUAUUUGAUCUAAGCACAAAUUACUAUCUGCUUACAAAGAAGCAUAUUUUCUCAAGUAUAAAAGUCUUUAAACUUUUAUAAAUACAUUUGCUCCUUAAUUGAUAUCUGCUUAUUUGAGAAGCAUCAAUCUGUACUAAAUUAUAUAUGAUUACUUAAGAAGCAUUCAUAUGUACUAAAUUCUUAUCUGCUUAUUUGAGAAGCAUCAAUCUGUACUAAAUUUUUAUCUGCUUAUUUGAGAAACACAUUGUUGUAAUAUCAUUUGUAAAAAGAGAAAAGGUCAGAGUUAGUUUAUUUUAUGUACCUGUGAGAAAGACGAGUAAUUCUUCGACCAAGACCAGAGUCUUAGAGAGGUCAGCGGGAAGUUGGGUCUCUAGUGUACUUGUGAGGUGAGGAAGAUGUUGUUGUUUCAAGACCAGAGCAUAGAUUAGAACUGAACUCAAAAGAAGGUACAACUAAACUUGAGGAGGGAGCAGGGAGCUUUGUAAGACCCCAACUUAUUAUAAAUAAAAUCGAAUUUCCUCUAAUUAUUAUUGUGAAUAAUAAGGUGUUAAUUUGAUAUAAUACUUUGGUUAUAGGUGAAAUGUGCAAAUUUUGCCAAAUAAGCAAGUGGUUAUAAAAUAUUCAUUGUUGUCGGGAAAUAUUCGUUUGGUCAUGGAAUAUUCUGUCUGUCGGGAAAUAUUCGUACGACGGCACAGCCAUUUGUGGGCCCCAUAAUAUAAUAACUGUCGGAUGAAGAAAAUGACAAGUUUGAGUUUUUAUAAAUAAUGGCG
rnacentral:lncRNA from 1 species